rnacentral:snRNA from 1 species
UUCGUUUAGCACGGGCAGUACGCAUACCAGUGAGGAUUCGUCCGAGGUUGCGUUUUUGCUAGUUGAAAACUAUUAUAGUUUGACCGCUCCUGUUGGUCUUCGGAUCGGCAGGGAAUCUUUGGAACCCCUUAGAUG